rnacentral:rRNA from 1 species
AUACGUAGGGUGCGAGCGUUAAUCGGAAUUACUGGGCGUAAAGCGUGCGCAGGCGGUUUUGUAAGACAGUGGUGAAAUCCCCGGGCUCGACCUGGGAACUGCCAUUGUGACUGCAAGGCUGGAGUGCGGCAGAGGGGGAUGGAAUUCCGCGUGUAGCCGCGACAUGCGUAGAUAUGCGGAGGAACACCGAUGGCGAAGGCAAUCCCCUGGGCCUGCACUGGCGCUCAUGCACGAAAGCGUGGGGAGCGAACAGGAUUAGAUACCCUGGUAGUCCACGCCCUAAACGAUGUCAACUGGUUGUUGGGGAUUUAUUUUCUCAGUAACGAAGCUAACGCGUGAAGUUGACCGCCUGGGGAGUACGGCCGCAAGGUUAAAACUCAAAUGAAUUGACGGGG